CACAGGGCUCCUGCUCCUCACAGGGGAGGCCAGGCCGCGUCUAUACUCCUUGAGCAGGUUUCUGGCAAUGGACGGUGCCCUGUGCCUUUCCUCUUUCUUUUUUCUUUCUUUAUGACUAAUUGAUUUUUUCACUAUAGGUGGCUUUUUAUUAAUAGACUCUUUUCUGAACAGUUUUAGGUUUACAGACAAAUUGACCAGAAGUGCAGAGAGUUCCUAUAAACACCCUCCUCCCUGCUCCCCAGUCUCCUCUGUUAUUAACAUCUUGCAUUAAUGUGGGACAUUUGUAACAAUGAUGAGCCUUAUUAUCAUCAGCAGGCUUCCCAGGUGGCUCAGUGGUAAAGAAUCCACCUGCCAAUGCAGGAAUGUGCGGUGGAUCCCAGGGUCUGGAAGCUCCCCUGGAGUAGAAAAUGGCCACCCACUCCAGUAUUCUUGCCUGAAAAAUUCCAUGGACAGAGGAGCCUGGUGGGCUACAGUCCGUGGGGGUCACAAAAGAGCUGAUACAACUUAGCAAGUAAAUAACAGCAUUAUUAUUAUUAACUAAAAUUCAUAGCUUGUAUUAAAGCUCACUCUUUGCGCUGUACAUUCUCCGGGUUUGACAAACGUGAAAAGACAUGUAUCCAUCACUAGAGUAUCACAGAGAAUAAUUGCACUGCCCUCAAAUCCUCUACAUUUCUUUCUUUUGCUACAAAAUCUGCUUCUGCUGAAAGGCCAGUUGAGCUGAUUCACGCAUAUCCGAAAGGGGGCCUGGCAGCAUCUGCAGUCUCUCCAGUCAUGUCUGACUCUCUGCGACCCCAUGGACUUAACCGGCCAAGCUCCUCUGCCCAUGGGAUUCUUCAGCUAUGGACAGCACCUUGCUUUGCGGUCACCACCUAUGGGAGUAGGACCCAGGAUCUGGAGUCUCUGUGGCCCACACACCCUGGCUACUGGAGUUAGAGGACAACGGCCAGGUUCACAAGCAUUUGCCGCAACCAUCUGUGUCUGUACCUCUUCUCUACGAGAGGAGGGAUGCAAACAGGGACAAAUCUGGGCCUGACCACUGCAGCUGUGACAUGCGGUUCUGUGGGCUCUGCCAGCACAGAGCCUGGGGCCCCCAUCUUAGCCUCAGGAGCACAAGGAAAGCCCUCCUGGGAGUGUUGAGGGGAUGGGUCGAGUUGGGGGUGGGAUGGGCGUUGGGAGGAAAACUGGCUAGCAGAUUCAAAUUUCUCUGCUUGAAACAUAAGAAGAUUUCAAAGAAGUAAGUGUUCCCCAUGCUGGGAGUUUCUGCACUGAAUCAAGCAUCCUUUUUCCCCUUUUCUGGAAACAUUAUGUCCUGAGGCCAGAGCAAGCCUGUUCCUGGAAGAGG
ensembl:lncRNA